CAGUAGCCGCGGGAAUACGUAGGGUGCAAGCGUUAAUCGGAAUUACUGGGCGUAAAGCGUGCGCAGGCGGUUUGUUAAGACAGAUGUGAAAUCCCCGGGCUCAACCUGGGAAUGGCAAUGGAUACUGGCAAGCUAGAGUGUGUCAGAGGAUGGUGGAAUUCCCGGUGUAGCGGUGAAAUGCGUAGAGAUCGGGGGGAACAUCAGUGGCGAAGGCGGCCAUCUGGGACAACACUGACGCUGAGGCACGAAAGCGUGGGGAGCAAACAGGAUUAGAUACCCCAGUAGUCCCUGUCUCUUAUAA
rnacentral:rRNA from 1 species